rnacentral:rRNA from 1 species
UACGGAGGGGGCCAGCGUUGUUCGGAAUUAUUGGGCGUAAAGGGCGCGUAGGCGGCCGGAUAAGUCUGAUGUGAAAUCCCACGGCUCAACCAUGGAACUGCAUUUGAAACUGUUCGGCUCGAGUCCGGGAGAGGGUAGUGGAAUUCCCAGUGUAGCGGUGAAAUGCGUAGAUAUUGGGAGGAACACCGGUGGCGAAGGCGGCUACCUGGACCGGUACUGACGCUGAUGCGCGAAAGCUAGGGUAGCAAACAGG